AAAACCCAUAGUCAUUAGCAGUCACUCCCUGUUCUCCCUCACUGCCCUUCAUCAGCCCAGAAUAAGAUUCUUAUUUUUUUUCUAAGACAGAGUCUCACUCAGUUGCCCAGGCUAGAGAGCAACAGUGCACUCACAGCUCACUGCAGCCUUGAACUCCCCAGCUCAAGCAAUCCUCCCACCUCAGCCUUGUGAAUACUUGGGACUACAGGACCUUCUCGGGAUUCUUCUGAAAUGUGUCUCAGAAUGCUGCCACAUAAUGAAAAGGGGAAGCACUGAUUCAUCAGUUUUCACCUCCUGCAUCAGAGAUGGCUUUGUAGGCAUUCAUCUCCCCACACCUCCAGGCUGUGCAUGCAUGAGUGCCAAGCUGGUCCUCACUGGAACCCAAAGCCAUGGAACCUGAGAAGUGUGGGGCAGGAAGCAAGAGGCAUAUGGGAGGAAAGCUGUCUCAAGGAAAGCUGCUGUCUGGUGGUAACUGAGGGAAGCUGCUAAGUCUGUGUGGAACUGUUCACCACAACAGUGGCUGAAGAGGUAGACUGAGGGGAUUUGAAGUGAUUUGCAAGUGCUGUUCAAUAUUGGCCCUUGGCCAGAAUGAGUGGUUUGCAACUGGCUGGUGAAGGAGAUAGAUGUCCAGAUGGCAGAGUGCCACCUUGGUCAUGUGACCAUGCAGUGUGGUUUGCAGAGUGGCAAGCACUAUAUGUUUCUCCACGCAGACCUCAUUGUUCUCUCUCUUCCAUGAGAAAGGAGAAAGCUGUCAUUUUGCUCCUUCUUAUGUCCUAAAUGGUGUACUUAAUGCCUAAUGAUGAGCCCUUUAAUGUGGGAAAUACUUACUAUCACAUUUGUCCUCAGCUUUCGGUCUUAAUUACCAUUUUUAAAGUUUAAGGAAAAAAUCCUAACUAUGAUACUUUUAAUAAGUAUAAGCAUCUGGGUCAUUCACAUGGUCACUACAUUACAAAAAAAAAAAAAAAAAAAAAAAAAAAAGAAGGUGCUUUUUAGUGUCCUAAAUCUGUAUUUGUGUCUAACAAGAUAAAUUAUCAUGGACUACGAUAGCUUUAAAAAGUAGCAAAAAAGCUUUUGACCAUUUUCUCAUCAAGAAACUGAGAGGUGGAGUCCGUGCCCCCUCACUCUAAAUCUGGGUAGAGUUGUGGCUCGCUGUAACCAGUAGAAUACAGCAGAAGUGACAUCCUGUGACUUCUGAAGCGAGGAUGGAAGACAUGAGGCGAAUUCUACUUCAUGAGCUGGGACAUUUGGGAGCCAAGUCUGGCUACCCUGAGGGUACGAUGCUGAGGAAGCUGAUGCUGCAUGGAAAGGCAAGUGUAGAGGCUUCUGCAACAGUGGCAUCUGAGGUCCCCAGUGACAGUCAGGAUCAAAGCACCUGUCUUCCCAGCUGAGCCCCAGAUAUCAUGGAGAAAAGACAAGCCUUUCCCACUACACUCAGUCUGAAUUCCUGACUCACAGAAUCCAUAAGCAUAAUAUACUCGUUGUUUAAGCAGCUAACUUUUGAGGGAGACAAUAAAUUAAAUGAAGGUCAAAUGACAUCACAGCACAUUGUACAGAUGGAAGACACAUAAAAGUUACAGCCGUGAAAAGACAUGGAAGAAGUGAAUCAUCCUAAAACACAAGGUAUUACAGGCAUGUUAAACUCCUUUAUGAAUAAUGAACUCAAUCAUUUUUUCACACAUUUAUUUCAGCAAAACAUCAUCCUUUGCAUUAACAUUAAUUUGGAUUUUAGAGUUUAUGUGGUUUUGUUUUUAUCUUUUAUGUAAGUUAAUUUUGGUCCUUCAGUUGUGUAAAAAUUAUAAGGAAAAUGAAUUUAUAUAUAACUAGUUAAAACUGACACAUACAGGAUACACAUUACAAUAAAAAGAAUUUAAGUCAAUCCUGAAAA